rnacentral:rRNA from 1 species
UACGAAGGGGGCUAGCGUUGUUCGGAAUUACUGGGCGUAAAGCGUUUGUAGGCGGUCAACCAAGUCAGGGGUGAAAUCCCGAGGCUCAACCUCGGAAUUGCCUUUGAAACUGAUUGGCUAGAGAAUGUUAGAGGUAAGUGGAAUUCCUAGUGUAGGAGUGAAAUCCGUAGAGAUUAGGAGGAAUAUCGAUGGCGAAGGCAGCUUACUGGGACAUUUCUGACGCUGAGAAACGAAAGCGUGGGUAGCAAACAGG